rnacentral:rRNA from 1 species
GAUGAACGCUGGCGGCGUGCCUAAUACAUGCAGGUCGAGCGAACGGACGAGAAGCUUGCCUCUCUGAUGUUAGCGGCGGACGGGUGAGUAACACGUGGAUAACCUACCUAUAAGACUGGGAUAACUUCGGGAAACCGUAGCUAAUACCGGAUAAUAUUUUGAACCGCAUGGUUCAAAAGUGAAAGACGGUCUUGCUGUCACUUAUAGAUGGAUCCGCGCUGCAUUAGCUAGUUGGUAAGGUAACGGCUUACCAAGGCAACGAUGCAUAGCCGACCUGAGAGGGUGAUCGGCCACACUGGAACUGAGACACGGUCCAGACUCCUACGGGAGGCAGCAGUAGGGAAUCUUCCGCAAUGGGCGAAAGCCUGACGGAGCAACGCCGCGUGAGUGAUGAAGGUCUUCGGAUCGUAAAACUCUGUUAUUAGGGAAGAACAUAUGUGUAAGUAACUGUGCACAUCUUGACGGUACCUAAUCAGAAAGCCACGGCUAACUACGUG